UGUGCUGCUGCUCGUCCUUUCCCGUUCCUCCAAAACGCGGCUUGGAGAUGCAGUGCUGAAGAAGCAUCCGCAGGGAACAGAGUGGUGGAGCAAGAUCCAAGUCAACAAAAAUCUUCUUUAAAGAACUGGAGGAAGUCUCCGCAUCAAAAACAUAACCUGCUGGGGAGAAUUUAACUUCUCUAAUGUCUGCUGAAAGAGCAACAUGGCAAGUUGCAAUCAGUUGAGAAGACUGCUGGAGGGUGUAAAUGGUAACAUCUUGAUAAAGAUAAAUGGAUUGACCAACCAAAGUGUGUACAUAUACCUUAAAAUUCUGCUUUGUUGUGAUACCAUGGAUGGGCAAAGCAGCUGGACAAGGACUGGAGCAGCUCUCUGGAUGGCUGGACUGCAGAUUUACUGAAACGAUUGGAAACCUUGACAUUUGUAUGUCUUUAGCAUUCUUCCCUUUUCUUCUCUAGCCUCACAAUGCAGGGACAGGGAUUAUUUUCUUGUUAGAAGACGAUACUCUUCCCAACAAAACAGGCUUUUGGACCAUGUCUGGAGAUCCUAAGUGUUAUGGUAAUAGAAAUUAAAAUAGAUGUUUGUAAUUAGAGAAAUUGUGUGGUGCUUUUGAGACAAAUAUGUUUGGAUCACAUGCAGGAGUUUGUAUCUUUGUUCCAAACAAGUGGUACAUGUAAAUAAAUAUUAAUUCCACUUAAGUCUAGUGUAUAUAUAGAAUCAUUCCAUUCAAAUCCAUGAAUUUACACCAGUCUGAAAUAUUUUAUUUACAUAUUCCUUCUUGGGUGUACACCUAAAAUAUGCUGAGCAUAUUCUACAACAUCUUUUCUAUAAAAAACAUCAGGAAAAAUUCCCCCAAAUUUUAUAUUUUGGAUCAGCUGCUGUAAAUCAGCCUACUUUGGAAAAAUUAGCAAACCAUUCCAUUAGCAUGUAUUGUUUAGAGCAAUCAGUCUCUGUAAUCUCCGUUGCCUGUCAUAGAAACAUGCCAGCUAUCGGUUUGGAUUACAGGCACAUGAUAAAAUAGUUGUGAUGAGCCAUUUUACUCCACAAAACAUGUGGACAAUGAUUUUGUGUUGAUUAGUGAUGAUUGUUUUUUAUGGUUGACUUCACAGGUUAUUGAUUCUUGGCUUUAAUCUCAAAAUAGACAGCAGUUUUGGAGAAAUUAUUUAAAUUUUUUACCUUUAUUGUAACCAUCUGAUUGUCUCAGACAUCCAGAUUCUGGAGGCUUGCAAUUUUUGGUAAAGAAAGAAAAGGACACUUAAUCCUAGAUAUACAUACCUAAGAAAAUGUCUCUGUUGAAUUUAAUUGAUGCAGCUGUUUCAAAAUCAAUCAAAACGUAUGCUUUUUAAUUAGGAAAAAAAAAAAAAAAGAUAUUUGAGUUUUUAAUGAAUCAGAUAGGUAGGGCACUCAAAAAAGUUGAAUGCAAUGGUUGGGUUUUUUCCUGGUUGGUAUCUUUCACUGUCAUGUCUGUGUUUUGCAGCAGAUAUGGUCAAAGGCAUUCUACUGCAUUUGAGCAUUCCAGCUUCCUUGGGCUUCUUUCUCUGAGAAGAUAUUAAAAUAUUUCAAGGACUUUUGCUUUUGGAAACUUUCAUAUUAACAAUAGUAAACUGUGGAUGUUUCAAAAAUCCACAAAACAGGAGUUGCUCUGGACUCUGCAUGAGGACGUGACAGAAUGGACAACAGUCAACGAUUUUUCAGCAAACACACACAAGCAUCAGUUGGACAACUAGCAAUUCAUUAUCAAUUAAUUUAACAAACUUACAGUAUUCUCUAUAUAUUUUCUGUUUUAAGCAGUAGCUUUAUAACUAGAACUACCUAGGAGUUCAGCUCCAGUUAUGCUGUAUCACUUAUCUUGGGCUGGAUGAAGCCCUGCAAUGUUCCUUUCUGACUUCAGCCCCUAAAAGCACUUUGUAGCUUCUGCCAGUUUAUUUAGAUUACUAAUUAGAUCCUUAUGCUAAUAAAUCUUUGUUAACCCUGAGUCUACCUGGAGGUUUAGACAGAGUCAUAACAAGAGUAUUGGGAAGAACAGGCUGUAGAAGGAGUAUCUUAAAUAUAAUAUCAAAGCACAGCAACUUUCUUUUAGCUGUUACAACAUGGUCACUGAAAUCUAUGUUAACAUACAACAUCUAAUUUACCUCUUGUUUUUUUGUCUUUUCUAUUUAGUGUGUCCCAGAACAGUGCAUUAACCAAAUGCCUCUGGAAAGUGUGCUUAUGUACCAAUAUCCAGAUAUUGGUGCAAAAUAGCAGAUUGUCUGAAAGACUUUGGAGGACAGUUUGACCUUCACUGGUUUAGAGAUCAGAUAAAAAAAAAUUUGAUAGUUAUCUCUACUUGUUUGUACUAACAAGGUUGUAUAGGGCUGAAUUUUAGGACUCAGACCACAUAUUAUAAACAGAUAUUCUUCUGGGAGUUAUAUAAUUCAUACUUGCUACUUUCUUAAGGAAAACCAGGCAGAAUUUUCUUCAGCAAUAAUUCCUAGCUUCCUUAAGUCAAUGAUCUUUAUGUAACUCCCAAAGGAGGAAACAGGAAAGUUUGCUAAUAUACAGUAGUCUAAAAAGAUAGAUUUUCUUUUUGUCUUUAGUAUGAGUGGAUUUAUCCCUUUCUUUCUGAAUACUAACAGCUAUUUUUGGUAGAUGAUUUUUUCAAGUACAUGCAGUGUCAUGUAUGGUGCUAAAUAGAUCUUUGCUGUCACACUUCUGACUGAGGAAUGAGCUAAAGGAAUUCCUGCUUGGCAUGGGUUUUGUCUAAAAUAUUAUACAAGAAACAUUUCAAUCUUAUAUAGAGUGGACUGGAAAUACUAGAAUUUGUUUAUCUCUCACCUAAUGUCUAUUUAGAGAAAUGAAGAGAAAACAAAUUUUGUUAGUUCAGUUUAUUAUCUGAAAUGCUGGAAAACCCUCUUACUUUCUGUCUGUGACCAAAAAUCUAAAUAUAGCUGAAGGGCAUGUCUAGACUGCUGUCAGACUGGAGAAUAUGCUGUGGUUCUUCCCUUUUAAAGGCAGUCAAGUUUUCACGAUUGGGAAUCACAGAAUAGAGGGAGGUGGUUGAGAAUGUCCCUGGCCUCAGGAGCUGUUAGUACUCUGGCUCUGACCCAUGUGUCAUCAGUCACAUGGGCACUUGUGUGUGAGCACCUUGCAUUUGUUUGUUCAGACCAGGUUUACAGACAUUUUCUAGGCUCUGCUUUCUGAAAUGUUUUCCACUGAUUACUUCUUGAGAUAUUUUUCCCCCAAGUUCAACUUUUUAAUCAAUUUUACCCACAGAUGCUGUUGCCAGAAUCCUUUUGAAAUGCCAGAGGUUAGAGGGGCAGCAGCACAGACAGUCCAGCAGACAUCAAUGGUCUGGAAAAUAAGUAGAUAAUGAAAUAAAUUAAAAUAGUUUUAUCCUGCAAGAGCAACAGCAUUUGCAGUGCUAGCAGAGACUGCCACUCAGCAAGGCUUCCAAUUCAACACAACUUCAGUUUCAUAGUUGACCAACUUUAAAAGUUGUUUAUAGCUGUUCAUAUCAUUGUUAUGCCACAUAAAUUCCCUUUUAUCUCUAGGUUCAGGUUUUGGAUAUGCUUUCUUCUGGCUGUAUUUCAAAGUCAGUAAGCCGAGGGCUUAUACUGCUGAAGAGGUUAGUCAUAGCUUGGUCCAACUUCUGAACAAUGAUUAAGCUUAUGAAUUCUGAAAUGUUUAUGUGAGCUGUGUCUUGCAUUGUUUAUUGCUGUUGUUGACACUAACACGUAUGGUCCAGAUGGCAGAAGAAGAUCUGCAUUUGAGAUUAUGUGGUGUAUUGUAAACUCAACUUUGCAGAUGUACUUCUAGCUAAUCAAAGACAGAGAAAUUGCUUUGAGUCACAUGUUGGAAAGUUAAUAGGGGUAUUUAACGCAACUCUUCCAUUUCCAGCUUGGAGAACUUGACAGACACAAAUAACUGGAGGCUUAGUGAGACAUUUCUGAAGCUACUAACAGGCUCCUUUCUUUGGAAAACCAUAAGUGCAGCUGAAAGAGAACUCUACAAAUUAUUUACAAAAUAAAAUAGUAAUUAAUACCUGCUGGUGGGAGCAGACUUAAUAAAUACUGUCUGUUCUGUAAAGUGACCUAAACUAAUUCCCUCCCAAAAAUCCAGUGAAAUACAGUAAAUAUGUGACUACUCCCAUGUUGCUGAGGACAAAGAUGUAGACUUUCAUAACAUGGGGACAUGACUAAGCCUGGAGCCUUGUUACCACAAUUUCCCUCUCAGUCUGCAGGGACAGCUAGACUCUUCCAGAAAGUUUGUAAAGUUUUCUUUAGGGGCUGAACUGCACACUUCUUGAAAGAGUAGCGCUCCUCACCAUGCAUGACUUUUGAGUAUACUGUGGUCUGACCAAGUAUCCUGGAUUUGUGCUAAAAACAUCCACAGCAGGGUGGGAUUUCAGAAAUUUGCUCAGGUGCCUAGACUUCUGCUUAAAAUUUGGUUUCAGAUAAGGAAGUAAUUUUUAGUAAAACUCUGUCAGAAAGUACUGACAUGACUCAAAUGUAGUGUUCCCAUUCUGCCAAGAAGGCUUGAAGGCAAGGAAGAAAAUUUGAGUCUGUCCUUCUUGACACUACUUCUCUAAUGUCCAGUUGGAUAACAUUUUCUGUGAUUGUCUUCCUUAGCAUUUAUUUGCAAUUUAAUUUUUAUUUCACUUUUAGCUUUGCUUACACGGUCACUAUAGCUGCUAAUGGCAUUGGAUCAGAACACAGGCUUGUGAAUGACAAUGAAGUAUCAUUUCUUCUGGAUCUAAAAAAACCCACAACAGCAAAAGCAGCAACAGUGUCAGAGUAGUAUUCUACCUCAGCUUGUAGCACAGGCUUAGAAGCUUUCAAGUCAAUCUGAAUAUAUUGUAUUCACCUUCACAAUUUUCUUGAUUUGAAAUAAGUCAACCAAAACAGCUUUAUAACUCCAGGAAAGAAGUAAUUUUUAGGAUGAAUAAGGUGAGUCAGGGAUCAUUUUUCUUCAAGAAGUACAAACAAAGAAGUGGGCAGGCUGGAUUUCUGGGAAAGGUUAGGACUUUCAGUCUAGACUGGUUGUUGUAGCAGACUUGAGAGGUUUCAUCUCAAUUUUUCUUUACAGCUUGUGUUUUGUUCUUUGUUCAGCAGCUGUUGGUUCUUCUCUGCAGGCAGGUGUUCCAUGCCCAUCCCCCUGGUUUUUGCUAUUUCCAUGGGUGGGGAACUGUUUAUAAUUCCUGUUACACUGAGCUGAAUGUUCUACAAAGUACAAUUUCAUUAGUCUUUGUACUUUUAUUGUUGUUCUGAUUGAUCUACGAUAACAUCUGAUGUGAUUUAGCACAAGGAACAUUGCAUUUAUUCAAUGUAAAAUAUUUAAUCUCUUUAGUUUUACUAAAGAAGAAGAAGAAGAAGAAGAAACUCCACACAAGAAACUUUUCCUCUUUUCCACUCAUCUUUCAAUUCUCUCUGGGGAUUGUAUAUGUUCAAUAUCUGUGUGUUGUUAAUGAGAAAAUUUGUGUGCAUGCCUUUGUUCUAGUGUUACAAUAGUCUUUUUAUGAUGGAAUACAAUGUGAGUAAUUUUUGUUUAUAAACCACAUUGCUUUUCAAUAAAUUGGAAAUGCAGUUUACACAGAAAUAAACCACAGA